UUUUUUUUUUUUUAAGUUUAUAGCUACUCUGUGUCGUUUACCUGUUGAGUUUAUUUAUUUACUUAUUUAUUUCAGCUGGGACUUCAAUGUACCUUUCGACCAGGCAAAAUAGUGAUCAUCUGAUUUUUGGGGAAGCUUCUCAAAAUAAUUUUAUGGACGUCUACAUAGGACAGUUAAGGACUGAAUGUCUUUCCUAUAGAGAUUAUGAUGAUAUUAAAAUCAAAAAGUGCCAAACCCCAUCAUUUUGAAUAUACACCUAGGGUCACGCCGUUCAUGAGGCAAACAAGACUAAAAAUUGGUAAUUGAUUACAACAGGUAAGCUCCUCUGACAGAAGGCGUUUGGAGUCUUCAAAAGGUGCAGCUGAAAGAUCAAAUGUGAAAUUAAAGUUUAAUGAAGGUGAUGGUUGUUCCUCUACCCAUUUCCCCACCCCCCCCCGGGGGAUCAGAAGAUCAUUUAAUAAGGCUGUUUUUAUACACAAAUGCAACUUGUUUAUUUUGACCUCAGUUCUUCGAAAUUGUCGACGCCACACUGAAAUAUGCUGUGUGUUCCAACAAGGACCCAGCAGUCGUAAUGACAGACCAGCCCAUCUGUGCUGCGAGAAUGUAUAAUUUCAGUCUAUAGUGGAAUUUAUAUAGAAGCGAGAUCAUGUGAAAACUGAGAUGCGUGGUACUUUCUUCGAAAAAAAUAUCGCUACGUACUGGGUACCAUGGAGAAUGCUGAUAUUUUUGCCUGAUUAAAAAAACAAAACCAAACAAACAAACAAAAACCUCCAUGGAAUUUUACUGUUUGGGAAAGAUAAAGUGUUACGACCCGAGUUAAAAAACUAAGAUGAUAUUUGGUCUCAUCUAACUAUCCCAACUGCAUAAGAUGUAUGCUGGAAAAUGUAUUAUCCAGAUACAGUAAGACGAUUAGAGGAACAGAACCUCAGAGGAAGAUACUAAUUUAGAGGGAAAAUGCUCAUUUAUGGAGAUUAAUUGAUUUUAUGCUACCUGCCCCUACCCUGUCCAAAAAGACGGCGAGUUAACUCUCAGGAAAUGGGACUAUCGCUCCAGGAUUUAGAAUUAAAGGCCGAUUCACCAACAUUAAUUAUAACAAAAAAUAAAAUUAAAAAAAAAAGGAGGAGUGGGCAGCUCUGAGAAGUCUAAAUUCUUUCCAAAUGAUUACCCCCCUCCCCGCCCCCUCUACCAGCUUCUCUAGUCUCUCGACUCCUCUGCCUUUAGAAUUUAUGACACUCUGUUUCUUGCUAUUACUUUUAUUUUGCCACCAGUGUUUUAUUUGGUGCUUGCUAAAUAUUUGGGUGGAGUGAUCUUCCAGCUUGCAGCAGCAGAAUGUGGCUGUCAUAGUCAUGAAAAUGUUUUAAUUAUCUCUGCUACAGAGAUGCCUGUCUCUGCAGCCCCAAGUCCUCCAGUACCGACUGCUGUCUAAUCUAAGAACAAAAGCGGCCGCAGAUAUUCCUCGUGCGCUGAGCUCACUUUCAACAUUUGCUGGUGUCUGCUCCGGCCAGCCGGCGGCUCAGGCCGGCACACACAGGACCCGAACGCCUCUGAUGCCAGAAAAUAACCAAAAAACCUAUUUACGUGGGAAUUUUCCUCUGAGUUGCACCCCAGCACUUCCUGGGCCUGAUCUCCCAUGUUCUGUAAAUCAAGACCCUGGCUACCCUCGAACGUGGGGAACCCAGGCUGUGUCUGCGGGAGCUUUGUCAGCCUGCCAGAGGAGCGAGGUGAGCUUGGAGCUGCACUCUGCAAAGACCACGUCUUAAAUGAAAAGCUUCAGGGACCAACAGAGAAACGCGGGCAGCCAUGGACCCCAGUUCCUGGACAGCAGCGGCAGCGUGGCCUGGGGACUGACUCCCUGCCCGACGGUCCACCGUUCAGCCCUGGCCAGUCAGGAUGCCUGGGGCCACAGCUCUGCAGGUGGGAAACCAGGACAGGAUCAGGGCACAGGCAGGCCCUGGGACCACUCAGGGCCCCCGAGGGCUGGUCUGGUGGACGUGCCCCCCGUGAGCCGUCUGUGGGCAGGGCAGUUAUAAACCAGGCAGGGCAAGGCUAGCUGGAAGCCCCGGGCUUAAAUAAGUGCUUAAAAAAACAAAGCCCCAAACAACCGAAGAGAUUUCCCCCACACUGAGCUGAGCACCGAAAAGAGCUUCUUCUUCCCCCCCCGGCCCCCCCAAAAAUAAAAUAAAAGGGAGAAAGAACUGGAUUCCUAAACUUGUGGACAUGGCAGCAUUCAAGAUGCCGGAUGAAAUGAAAGGGCCUCUGUUUCUCAAAGCAGCACCCACCCUCCCGUGUGCCAGCCUGGCCCUGCCUGCCGAGGAGUUUGCUGGAAGGAGCAUGGAUGGUUCUGGUGUUUUUCCCUGUGCCACCCC
rnacentral:lncRNA from 1 species